GAGUUUUGCAAGCCAUUCAAAUUUGACAGGAUACAGACUCAAAACCUGACCUCCUCUUUGGUGCCCUGUCAAGUGAGGCGCAGGUCUAUGAAAUGCAGAUCUUUACUAGAAGUUUCAAAGCGUAUUUUCAAGCCAUGAAGAUAAAUGCUUGGCAUACCUGUUGCAAUUUGCCAGUGAGUUGUGAUCUUCAUAGGCUGAUGCUACUGGUCUACCAAGGGCGGGCUGUGUGUGAUCUUGAAAUGUUUAUUUCCACAAGAAAGCAUCUUCCACACUACCUUCUGGAUUGCCGCUUUGAAAAACUAGAAGGCAUCUUUGAGAGAGUUGGCUAGAAGUUGAAGGCACCAAACUAUGCAGUAUGUGUUUUCUGUAAUGAUUGCACAACUGAAGACCAGAAGGUUACAGUAGUGAUGAAGAGCAUGAGUCUCUCAUUGGGAAAAACUAGAGAGCAGCAUGGGAGGACUGCCAAUGUUUGGGGUGUUUCAGAUAAAGCUAUAAAGUACAGACAUUUCUCUGAAGUUUAUCUGCCUUCAUCUGAACAACCCAAGUCUAGAGAUCAGCUUGCAGAUCUACCACAGUAAUUUCUCUGGCAAGACUUCCAGUGUCUUCCCUGUUCCUGUCUCUCACAUUGGAUCUUACAACCUUGGCUUCAUCUUAUCCCUGUAAUAAAGGAGGCACAAUGGAACAGUUA